GGACAGUGUACUGCUUUGAUAGAGCACCUGCUGGACAACCUGAUCCACCUGCUGCCAAACAUGUACCCUCAUGCAUCCACCAGUAACUCAGCAGUGAGUUUAUACCACGUUAUGAGAUUAAAGAUGCCUAAAAUUGGAAGACUUGGGCGACUAAGAAAAAGAAUGAGAGGUUUUUGGAGAAAUCUUUGCUCAUGCACUUGCAGCAAUGACAUGGAGAGUGAAGAGGCCACUUCAGGAAUAGAGACCCAGAAGUAGGAGAGUAGAAGGUCACCAGAAUGAGUGAGACACCAGGGCUAGUCGGGGUCAUGGCAAAACACCGGAGCAGGUGAAGGUGACCAAAAGACGCCAGGACCAGUGAGUGUCACCAA